rnacentral:rRNA from 1 species
UAACGCGAAGAACCUUACCUACUCUUGACAUCCAGAGAACUUUCCAGAGAUGGAUUGGUGCCUUCGGGAACUCUGAGACAGGUGCUGCAUGGCUGUCGUCAGCUCGUGUCGUGAGAUGUUGGGUUAAGUCCCGUAACGAGCGCAACCCUUGUCCUUAGUUACCAGCACGUUAUGGUGGGCACUCUAAGGAGACUGCCGGUGACAAACCGGAGGAAGGCGGGGAUGACGUCAAGUCAUCAUGGCCCUUACGGCCUGGGCUACACACGUGCUACAAUGGCAAUGACAAUGGGAAGCAAGGCUGUAAGGCGGAGCGAAUCCGGAAAGAUUGCCUCAGUUCGGAUUGUUCUCUGCAACUCGGGAACAUGAAGUCGGAAUCGCUAGUAAUCGUAGAUCAGAAUGCUACGGUGAAUACGUUCCCGGGCCUUGUACACACCG